UACAGAGGUCUCAAGCGUUGUUCGGAAUUACUGGGCGUAAAGGGUGCGCAGGCCGCGCGGACAGUCAAAUGUGAAAUUCAGGGGCUCAACCCCUGCAUUGCGCUUGAUACUUCCGCGCUCGAGCCUUGGAAAGGAGUCUGGAAUUCUCGGUGUAGCAGUGAAAUGCGUAGAUAUCGAGAGGAACACGAAGGGCGAAGGCAAGACUCUGGACAAGUGCUGACGCUCAUGCACGAAGGCUAGGGUAGCGAGCGGG
rnacentral:rRNA from 1 species